CACGGGGGGAGCAAGCGUUGUUCGGAAUCACUGGGCGUAAAGGGCGUGUAGGCGGUCAAGUAAGUGGAAUGUGAAAGCCCCCGGCUUACCCGGGGAUCUGCAUCCCAAACUGCUUGGCUUGAGUACGGGAGAGGAUAGGGGAAUUCCUGGUGUAGCGGUGAAAUGCGUAGAUAUCAGGAGGAACACCGGUGGCGAAGGCGGGAUCCUGGGCCAGUACUGACGCUGAGGAGCGAAAGCGUGGGGAGCAAACAGG
rnacentral:rRNA from 1 species